rnacentral:rRNA from 1 species
AAAAACAUGGCCUAUCGAAUAUAAUUUUAGGUCUAGCCUGCUCAAUGAAUUUUAAAUGGCCGCAGUAUCUUAACUGUGCAAAGGUAGCAUAAUCAUUAGUUUUUUAAUUGAAAGCUGGAAUGAAAGGUCGGAUGAGAAAAUAGCUGUCUCUAUAAAAAUUUUUUAGAACUUUAUUUUUAAGUUAAAAAGCUUAAAUUUUUGUAAAAGACGAGAAGACCCUAUAGAGUUUUAUAUUUGUAUUUAAUGUAUCUUUUAGUAUUAUAAAAUUUAUUAAAUUAUAAUAUUUGGUUGGGGUGAUUGGAAAAUUAAGUAAACUUUUCUUUAAGUUAAACAUUAAUUUAUGAACAUUUGAUCCUUUUUAGAGAUUAUAAGAUUAAAUUACCUUAGGGAUAACAGCGUAAUUUUUUUUGAGAGUUCUUAUCGAAAGAGAAGAUUGCGACCUCGAUGUUGGAUUAAAAUAAAUUUUUGGUGUAGGAGCUAAAUAAAUUAGGUCUGUUCGACCUUUAAAAUUUUACUUGAUCUGAGUU